UCCCGUGUGGCUCAGUUGGUAGAGCAUGGUGCUUGCAACACCAGGGUUGUGGGUUCGAAUCCCCCAAGGGAC
rnacentral:tRNA from 1 species